rnacentral:lncRNA from 1 species
CGCGGAGGGCCGCUUCCCGAGGUGGGCGGUAGCUAGCUGCUAGAAGGCGCUUCCAGGAAAAACUGGAUUUGUUGAGAAAAGACUCCUUGCUCAUCCAGGCUGAUGCCCCAGUGAAGCUUGCCUAGUUUUUGUACAGCUCAUCGUAGAUGAAGGACCUGCUCUUGCCAGGGCUUUCUGAGGAAAUUGAGGACCAAAGAGACUACACACGUCUGCAAAUUGAAUCUCCUUGCACCCAAACCUUCUUUUUUCUAAGGAAUCUCCCAGAUGGUUAGGAAGACUGUCUUGUUUUUCAGGGUCCCCUUCUCUAGAUGCCACAGGAGUGACCCUACAAUGUACACAAAGAGACAGAAAUUCAAUCUGGUGCAGUGACCGUGGGAUACCGACAAAGUCUGAUUGGUCACCCGGUGUGCUUCUGAGCUGUGACAAGCAGCGAUUCAUCAUUUCUAUAGAGCAAAGCUUGAGUCUAGGCGUCACCUCACCCAGCUGGCGUGGUCACGAGUUAGGAAGAUGAACUGCUAAGGAAGAGGCUGCGAGGAAGCCGAUGUUUGGACAAAGGUUAAGGAGGCUGAAAUCUGCA